UACGUAGGGGGCAAGCGUUGUCCGGAUUUAUUGGGCGUAAAAGGCUUGUAGGUGGCCACGCCAAGUCGGAUGUGAAAUCUCCCGGCUCAACUGGGAGGGGUCAUUCGAUACUGGCGGGCUCGAGGCCGGUAGGGGGAAGUGGAAUUCCCGGUGUAGUAGUGGAAUGCGUAGAUAUCGGGAGGAACACCAGUGGCGAAGGCGGCUUCCUGGACCGGUUCUGACACUGAGGAGCGAAAGCGUGGGGAGCGAUCCGG
rnacentral:rRNA from 1 species